AUGAACGCUGGCGGCGUGCCUAAUACAUGCAAGUCGAGCGCACAGACGAGGAGCUUGCUCCUCUGACGUUAGCGGCGGACGGGUGAGUAACACGUGGAUAACCUACCUAUAAGACUGGGAUAACUUCGGGAAACCGGAGCUAAUACCGGAUAAUAUAUUGAACCGCAUGGUUCAAUAGUGAAAGACGGUUUUGCUGUCACUUAUAGAUGGAUCCGCGCCGCAUUAGCUAGUUGGUAAGGUAACGGCUUACCAAGGCAACGAUGCGUAGCCGACCUGAGAGGGUGAUCGGCCACACUGGAACUGAGACACGGUCCAGACUCCUACGGAAGGCAGCAGUAGGGAAUCUUCCGCAAUGGGCGAAAGCCUGACGGAGCAACGCCGCGUGAGUGAUGAAGGUCUUCGGAUCGUAAAACUCUGUUAUUAGGGAAGAACAAAUGUGUAAGUAACUAUGCACGUCUUGACGGUACCUAAUCAGAAAGCCACGGCUAACUACGUG
rnacentral:rRNA from 1 species